UCCGAUAUGGUGUAGUGGCUAACAUUAUCGCCUCUCAUUAAGCAAGGGACUGAAAACCAUGUAUAGAUGCGCGAUAGCCCGGGGUUCGAUUCCCCGUGUCGGAA
rfam:Gymnopus luxurians FD-317 M1 unplaced genomic scaffold GYMLTscaffold_29, whole genome shotgun sequence.